UUCCCUCCAUAUAUCAGCCGAAAGACAGCAACCCCAAAGAAGAAGAUUAUGAAGAUAAAACUUCUUCCAUACCUCCUCUUUGCAAUACUAGUCAUCCUUCUUCUACCUUCUCAACAUCAUUAUUCACCUACUUCAUUCAUGGUUCAAGCUGCAGAAUCAGGUAAUAAACUCAAGCUAGAACCUGGACCAGCAAGAAAUAUUUUGGCUACAAGAUACAUGUUAUCCACAUGGGUCAAGUCCAGGAAGCUGGGGGCGAAACCACCAUCAGGACCAAGCCCUAUUGGCAAUAGGCACCCUCCAGCUAAUCAUAAUUGAGAAGGGAACUUUUUACGCGCAAUUGCUUAGGAAGCCCAGAAAAAGGUGAGAAGAAAAGAGAAAGAGAAGAGAAGUGAGAAAAGCUGUAUGCAUGUACUUUUGUGAUUGAAUUUGGUUAGAAAUUCUUCACAAGCGAUGUGCUUUAAUGUUGCAUGCUUGCAAAAGGAUA